rnacentral:lncRNA from 1 species
CUGGCUUCAAGUAAUCCUCCCACCUUGGCCUCUCAAAGUGCUGGAAUUACAGAUUUAUUUUUAUCUCCAUCUGGAAACUUGUCUGACUGGUCUUUGCUUCUGAAGACAUCAGGUUAUUAAAAAGUCUUGGCGUUCCUUCCUUGAUGACUGCCCAAAUGACUAACUAAGUUUGAGGCAAAUUCUUUUUCUUUAUUUUUUCACUAUUUUAGUUCACUGCACAGAUGUAUGAGGCAAAUUCUUGUUACAUAACUUUGUCAUAUAAUUCCAGAGAAUCAACAGACAUCAGUCAUUAAAGUGUUUUUUUUUUUUUCAUUACAAAGGACCACCAUAUUUAUUAAAAUUUAUUAAAUAGAAUAAAGCAAGACUUUAUUCUA